rnacentral:rRNA from 1 species
CACGUAGGGGGCGAGCGUUGUCCGGAUUUAUUGGGCGUAAAGAGCUCGUAGGCGGCUCAGUAAGUCGGGUGUGAAACCUCCAGGCUCAACCUGGAGACGCCACCUGAUACUGCUGUGGCUGGAGUCCGGUAGGGGAGCGUGGGAAUUCCUGGUGUAGCGGUGAAGUGCGCAGAUAUCAGGAGGAACACCAGCGGCGAAGGCGGCGCUCUGGGCCGGUGACUGACGCUGAGGAGCGAAAGCGUGGGUAGCAAACAGG